GAUGAACGCUGGCGGCGUGCCUAAUACAUGCAAGUCGAGCGAACAGACGAGGAGCUUGCUCCUCUGACGUUAGCGGCGGACGGGUGAGUAACACGUGGAUAACCUACCUAUAAGACUGGGAUAACUUCGGGAAACCGGAGCUAAUACCGGAUAAUAUAUUGAACCGCAUGGUUCAAUAGUGAAAGACGGUUUUGCUGUCACUUAUAGAUGGAUCCGCGCCGCAUUAGCUAGUUGGUAAGGUAACGGCUUACCAAGGCAACGAUGCGUAGCCGACCUGAGAGGGUGAUCGGCCACACUGGAACUGAGACACGGUCCAGACUCCUACGGGAGGCAGCAGUAGGGAAUCUUCCGCAAUGGGCGAAAGCUUGACGGAGCAACGCCGCGUGAGUGAUGAAGGUCUUCGGAUCGUAAAACCCUGUUAUUAGGGAAGAACAAAUGUGUGAGUAACUAUGCACGUCUUGACGGUACCUAAUCAGAAAGCCACGGCUAACUACGUG
rnacentral:rRNA from 1 species